rnacentral:rRNA from 1 species
UGGGGAAUAUUGCACAAUGGGCGGAAGCCUGAUGCAGCAACGCCGCGUGCGGGAUGACGGCCUUCGGGUUGUAAACCGCUUUCGCCUGUGACGAAGCGUGAGUGACGGUAAUGGGUAAAGAAGCACCGGCUAACUACGUGCCAGCAGCCGCGGUGAUACGUAGGGUGCGAGCGUUGUCCGGAUUUAUUGGGCGUAAAGGGCUCGUAGGUGGUUGAUCGCGUCGGAAGUGUAAUCUUGGGGCUUAACCCUGAGCGUGCUUUCGAUACGGGUUGACUUGAGGAAGGUAGGGGAGAAUGGAAUUCCUGGUGGAGCGGUGGAAUGCGCAGAUAUCAGGAGGAACACCAGUGGCGAAGGCGGUUCUCUGGGCCUUUCCUGACGCUGAGGAGCGAAAGCGUGGGGAGCGAACAGGCUUAGAUACCCUGGUAGUCCACGCUGUAAACGGUGGGUACUAGGUGUGGGGUCCAUUCCACGGGUUCCGUGCCGUAGCUAACGCUUUAAGUACCCCGCCUGGGG